UACGGAGGGGGCUAGCGUUGUUCGGAAUUAUUGGGCGUAAAGCGCGCGCAGGCGGUCCCUUAAGUCUGAUGUGAAAGCCCACGGCUCAACCGUGGAGGGUCAUUGGAAACUGGGGGACUUGAGUACAGAAGAGGAAAGCGGAAUUCCACGUGUAGCGGUGAAAUGCGUAGAGAUGUGGAGGAACACCAGUGGCGAAGGCGGCUUUCUGGUCUGUAACUGACGCUGAGGCGCGAAAGCGUGGGGAGCAAGCAGG
rnacentral:rRNA from 1 species